GUGUCGAUGAAGAGCGCAGCCAACUGUGUGAAUUUAUGUGAACUGCAUGCUCAUUUGAACAUCGACAUCUUGAACGCACAUUGCGGCCACGGGUUUGCUCGUGGCCACGUCUGUCCGAGGGUCGGUUU
rnacentral:rRNA from 1 species